GAUGAACGCUAGCUACAGGUUUAACACAUGCAAGUCGAGGGGAAACGACAUCGAAAGCUUGCUUUUGGUGGGCGUCGACCGGCGCACGGGUGAGUAACGCGUAUCCAACCUGCCCACCACUUGGGGAUAACCUUGCGAAAGUAAGACUAAUACCCAAUGAUAUCUCUAGAAGACAUCUGAAAGAGAUUAAAGAUUUAUCGGUGAUGGAUGGGGAUGCGUCUGAUUAGCUUGUUGGCGGGGUAACGGCCCACCAAGGCAACGAUCAGUAGGGGUUCUGAGAGGAAGGUCCCCCACAUUGGAACUGAGACACGGUCCAAACUCCUACGGGAGGCAGCAGUGAGGAAUAUUGGUCAAUGGGCGAGAGCCUGAACCAGCCAAGUAGCGUGCAGGAUGACGGCCCUAUGGAUUGUAAACUGCUUUAUAAGGGAAUAAAGUGAGUCUCGUGAGACUUUUUGCAUGUACCUUAUGAAUAAGGA
rnacentral:rRNA from 1 species